rnacentral:misc_RNA from 1 species
CUCAAGCUGCUGUUGCUGAUCCUCAAAUAAAUUCUGUUUAAUUUCCCUUUCCUCCAUUGUCAUCUCAUCCUUAAAAAGCUCUUCGCCGAACAUAUAAAACGCAAAUGGGUAUGAAUAUGAAAGAACCCGUCUUGAUCUGAAAAGUCUGUAUAGUCCAUUAGUUACCCAGCUGAAAUCUCUAAGUCUUGAUUCUCUCUCUUCUGAUAUUGACACUUUCUCCAAGAUUGUCUCCUUAAGUUUACUUUCAAGCUUAAAGGAAUCCGUGUGAGCCUUAUACCGGUUAUGAUAGUGCAUAUAUCGAUAGAGAUCCUGUUUUGCGCGUUCCGUUUUUCUCUCUCGGUCUUCUUUAUAGCGACCACAACUGUGACCCGAUAUUCUAGACCAUGUAUGAUCUCUCCCAGUUGCUCCACCACACAGCCAACAAAACGAUUGACCACAUAUACAGCUCACAAGGUUGCAGCCACCAUUCUUCUCAACGGGUUUGUGACACUUAGGACAAGGCUUUGUAUGAACUGUGAUCCAAUUAACUGUUUCAGAUUCAUCGCGACAUUUCUUGCUCCAAAGCUCCCACAUCAAACAUGAACAAGGAGAGUGUGCUUCUGACAAGCAACUAAAACAAAAUUGUAAACUGCAUGAACAUUCUACCUCACAACAUUCAUCUUCUUCAAUUCGUAUAGCAUUCCCACAGUGAGGAGUACUUGGGCACCAUUUAACCAUUUUGUUGUCCUCAAUGUAUGAUUCAAGAAGAAAACG